UUCUGAACGGCUUGAGAUUUCCAGAAAGAGACGAAGUUGGAUCCUAAUGACUUCACUGGGGCGGUGUUUGAGGGAAAGUUCUAUGGGCCAU